GACGGAGGGUGCUAGCGUUGUUCGGAAUGACUGGGCGUAAAGGCGCGUAGGCGGCCGGUUGCGUCGGAUGUGAAAGCCCGGGGCUCAACCCCGGAACGGCAUCCGAUACGGGCUGGCUUGAGACCGAGAGAGGUGAGUGGAAUACCCAGUGUAGAGGUGAAAUUCGUAGAUAUUGGGUGGAACACCGGUGGCGAAAGCGGCUCACUGGCCCGAUACUGACGCUGAGGCACGAAGGCCAGGGGAGCAAACGGG
rnacentral:rRNA from 1 species